rnacentral:rRNA from 1 species
AGUGAACGCUGGCGGUAGGCCUAACACAUGCAAGUCGAACGGCAGCACAGUAAGAGCUUGCUCUUACGGGUGGCGAGUGGCGGACGGGUGAGGAAUACAUCGGAAUCUACUUUUUCGUGGGGGAUAACGUAGGGAAACUUACGCUAAUACCGCAUACGACCUACGGGUGAAAGCAGGGGAUCUUCGGACCUUGCGCGAUUGAAUGAGCCGAUGUCGGAUUAGCUAGUUGGCGGGGUAAAGGCCCACCAAGGCGACGAUCCGUAGCUGGUCUGAGAGGAGGAUCAGCCACACUGGAACUGAGACACGGUCCAGACACCUACGGGAGGCAGCAGUGGGGAAUAUUGGACAAUGGGCGCAAGCCUGAUCCAGCCAUACCGCGUGGGUGAAGAAGGCCUUCGGGUUGUAAAGCCCUUUUGUUGGGAAAGAAAAGCAGCAGGUUAAUACCCCGCUGUUCUGACGGUACCCAAAGAAUAAGCACCGGCUAACUUCGUG